CGGACCGGCGCACGGGUGAGUAACACGUAUGGAACCUGCCCGCAGCAGGGGGAUAAGCGGAAGAAAUUCCGUCUAAUACCGCGUAACACCGCAGAGGGGCAUCCCUCGGCGGUUAAAGAUUCAUCGGCUGCGGAUGGCCAUGCGGCGCAUUAGCUAGUCGGCGGGGUAACGGCCCACCGAGGCGACGAUGCGUAGGGGUUCUGAGAGGAAGGUCCCCCACACUGGUACUGAGACACGGACCAGACUCCUACGGAAGGCAGCAG
rnacentral:rRNA from 1 species